rnacentral:rRNA from 1 species
UACGGGGGGGAGCAAGCGUUGUUCGGAUUUACUGGGCGUAAAGAGCGCGCAGGCGGUCGAUCAAGUCGAGUGUGAAAGCCCCCCGGCUCAACUGGGGAGGGUCAUUUGAUACUGGUCGACUCGAAGGCAGGAGAGGGUAGUGGAAUUCCCGGUGUAGUGGUGAAAUGCGUAGAUAUCGGGAGGAACACCAGUGGCGAAGGCGACUACCUGGCCUGUUCUUGACGCUGAGGCGCGAAAGCUAGGGGAGCAAACGGG